rnacentral:rRNA from 1 species
GGCGAACGGGUGAGUAACACGUGAGCAACCUGCCCUUCUCAUCGGAAUAAGCGUUGGAAACGACGUCUAAUGCCGAAUACGACCUCCGAAGGCAUCUUCAGAGGUGGAAAGCUCCGGCGGAGAAGGAUGGGCUCGCGGCCUAUCAGCUAGUUGGUGGGGUAACGGCCCACCAAGGCGACGACGGGUAGCCGGCCUGAGAGGGUGACCGGCCACACUGGGACUGAGACACGGCCCAGACUCCUACGGGAGGCAGCAGUGGGGAAUAUUGGACAAUGGGCGAAAGCCUGAUCCAGCAACGCCGCGUGAGGGAUGACGGCCUUCGGGUUGUAAACCUCUUUCAGCACCGACGAAGCGAAAGUGACGGUAGGUGCAGAAGAAGGACCGGCCAACUACGUGCCAGCAGCCGCGGUAAUACGUAGGGUCCGAGCGUUGUCCGGAAUUAUUGGGCGUAAAGGGCUCGUAGGCGGUUUGUCGCGUCGGGAGUGAAAACUCAGGGCUCAACCCUGAGCGUGCUUCCGAUACGGGCAGACUAGAGGUAUGCAGGGGAGAACGGAAUUCCUGGUGUAGCGGUGGAAUGCGCAGAUAUCAGGAGGAACACCGGUGGCGAAGGCGGUUCUCUGGGCAUUACCUGACGCUGAGGAGCGAAAGCAUGGGGGAGCGAACAGGAUUAGAUACCCUGGUAGUCCAUGCCGUAAACGUUGGGCGCUAGGUGUGGGGACCUUCCACGGUCUCCGUGCCGCAGCUAACGCAUUAAGCGCCCCGCCUGGGGAGUACGGCCGCAAGGCUAAAACUCAAAGGAAUUGA